rnacentral:rRNA from 1 species
UACGUAGGGUGCAAGCGUUAAUCGGAAUUACUGGGCGUAAAGGGCUCGUAGGCGGCCAAGUAAGUCGGAUGUGAAAUCCCCAGGCUCAACCUGGGAACUGCAUCCGAUACUGGAUGGCUAGAAUCCGGGAGAGGGAUGCAGAAUUCCAGGUGUAGCGGUGAAAUGCGUAGAUAUCGGUAGGAACACCAGUGGCGAAGGCGGUCUCCUGGGGCAUUCUUGACGCUGAGGCGCGAAAGCUGGGGGAGCGAACGGG